CCGCUCGCCGGAAGACCAAGGGUUCCUGUCCAACGUUAAUCGGGGCAGGGUGAGUCGACCCCUAAGGCGAGGCCGAAAGGCGUAGUCGAUGGGAAACGGGUUAAUAUUCCCGUACUUGGUGUUACUGCGAAGGGGGGACGGAGAAGGCUAUGUUGGCCGGGCGACGGUUGUCCCGGUUUAAGCGUGUAGGUGUGUGUUCCAGGUAAAUCCGGUUCACUUUAACACUGAGGCGUGAUGACGAGGCACUACGGUGCUGAAGCAACAAAUGCCCUGCUUCCAGGAAAAGCCUCUAAGCAUCAGGUAACACGAAAUCGUACCCCAAACCGACACAGGUGGUCAGGUAGAGAAUACCAAGGCGCUUGAGAGAACUCGGGUGAAGGAACUAGGCAAAAUGGUGCCGUAACUUCGGGAGAAGGCACGCUGACACGUAGGUGAAGUGAUUUACUCAUGGAGCUGAAGUCAGUCGAAGAUACCAGCUGGCUGCAACUGUUUAUUAAAAACACAGCACUGUGCAAACACGAAAGUGGACGUAUACGGUGUGACGCCUGCCCGGUGCCGGAAGGUUAAUUGAUGGGGUCAGCGCAAGCGAAGCUCCUGAUCGAAGCCCCGGUAAACGGCGGCCGUAACUAUAACGGUCCUAAGGUAGCGAAAUUCCUUGUCGGGUAAGUUCCGACCUGCACGAAUGGCGUAAUGAUGGCCAGGCUGUCUCCACCCGAGACUCAGUGAAAUUGAACUCGCUGUGAAGAUGCAGUGUACCCGCGGCAAGACGGAAAGACCCCGUGAACCUUUACUAUAGCUUGACACUGAACAUUGAGCCUUGAUGUGUAGGAUAGGUGGGAGGCUUUGAAGUGUGGACGCCAGUCUGCAUGGAGCCGACCUUGAAAUACCACCCUUUAAUGUUUGAUGUUCUAACGUGGACCCGUUACCCGGGUUGCGGACAGUGUCUGGUGGGUAGUUUGACUGGGGCGGUCUCCUCCUAAAGAGUAACGGAGGAGCACGAAGGUUGGCUAAUCCUGGUCGGACAUCAGGAGGUUAGUGCAAUGGCAUAAGCCAGCUUGACUGCGAGCGUGACGGCGCGAGCAGGUGCGAAAGCAGGUCAUAGUGAUCCGGUGGUUCUGAAUGGAAGGGCCAUCGCUCAACGGAUAAAAGGUACUCCGGGGAUAACAGGCUGAUACCGCCCAAGAGUUCAUAUCGACGGCGGUGUUUGGCACCUCGAUGUCGGCUCAUCACAUCCUGGGGCUGAAGUAGGUCCCAAGGGUAUGGCUGUUCGCCAUUUAAAGUGGUACGCGAGCUGGGUUUAGAACGUCGUGAGACAGUUCGGUCCCUAUCUGCCGUGGGCGCUGGAGAACUGAGGGGGGCUGCUCCUAGUACGAGAGGACCGGAGUGGACGCAUCACUGGUGUUCGGGUUGUCAUGCCAAUGGCACUGCCCGGUAGCUAAAUGCGGAAGAGAUAAGUGCUGAAAGCAUCUAAGCACGAAACUUGCCCCGAGAUGAGUUCUCCCUGAGACUUAGAGUCUCCUGAAGGAACGUUGAAGACGACGACGUUGAUAGGCCGGGUGUGUAAGCGCAGCGAUGCGU
rnacentral:rRNA from 1 species